GUCACAACAUGGGUGAUGCUUAUGGGGAACACAUUUUUAUGCCUAGGAGGGAAAAAAAAGUCUGGCACCAACUCUGCUUAUGUCUGCUAGUAAAAAGGAAUCUUGCCGAUAUCUUGCCUAGAGCAAAUGACAUCCUACAACAAAUGCUCACAGCCUUCUAAUGUAAUAAUUAGCACCCUUUAAACCAGGGAUUGGUAACCUAUGACCUGUUUUCCUAAUUAAGAUUGCCUCAUGC